AAGACAAAAGUUAAGUGAGGGGCUGCUAACCUUUUACUGAGCGGUUAGAUUCCGUUUGUGUCUUU
rnacentral:tRNA from 1 species